UACGAAGGGGGCUAGCGUUGUUCGGAAUUACUGGGCGUAAAGGGAGCGUAGGCGGGUUUUAAGUCAGGUGUUUAAUCCCGGGGCCCAACCCCGGACCGGCACUUGAAACUGGGAAUCUUGAAUAGUGGAGAGGUCAGUGGAAUUGGGGGUGUAGCGGUGGAAUGCGUAGAGAUCCCCAAGAACACCAGUUGCGAAGGCGGCUGACUGGACACAUAUUGACGCUGAGGCUCGAAAGCAUGGGGAGCAAACAGGG
rnacentral:rRNA from 1 species